GUUUGAUCCUGGCUCAGGAUGAACGCUAGCGACAGGCCUAACACAUGCAAGUCGAGGGGUAACAUGAGUGCUUGCACUUGAUGACGACCGGCGCACGGGUGCGUAACGCGUAUGCAACUUACCUUGUACUGGGGAAUAGCCCGUGGAAACGCGGAUUAAUGUCCCAUAACACUACAAUUUCGCAUGGAAAAGUGGUUAAAGUUCCGACGGUACAAGAUGGGCAUGCGUGACAUUAGCUAGUUGGUGAGGUAAUGGCUCACCAAGGCGACGAUGUCUAGGGGUUCUGAGGGGAAGGUCCCCCACACUGGUACUGAGACACGGACCAGACUCCUACGGGAGGCAGCAGUGAGGAAUAUUGGUCAAUGGGCGCAAGCCUGAACCAGCCAUGUCGCGUGCAGGAAGACUGCCCUACGGGUUGUAAACUGCUUUUGUAUGGGAAGAAACGUUGGUACGUGUACCAAUUUGCCGGUACCAUACGAAUAAGGAUCGGCUAACUCCGUGCCAGCAGCCGCGGUAAUACGGAGGAUCCAAGCGUUAUCCGGAUUUAUUGGGUUUAAAGGGUGCGUAGGCGGUAGAAUAAGUCAGUGGUGAAAUCCUGCAGCUUAACUGUAGAACUCCAUUGAUACUGUUUUACUUGAGUGUAAUUGAGGUAGGCGGAAUGUGUUGUGUAGCGGUGAAAUGCAUAGAUAUAACACAGAACACCGAUUGCGAAGGCAGCUUACUGAGUUAUAACUGACGCUGAUGCACGAAAGCGUGGGUAGCGAACAGGAUUAGAUACCCUGGUAGUCCACGCCGUAAACGAUGAUUACUCGCUGUAGGCAAUACACCGUCUGUGGCUGAGCGAAAGCAUUAAGUAAUCCACCUGGGGAGUACGUUGGCAACAAUGAAACUCAAAGGAAUUGACGGGGGCCCGCACAAGCGGAGGAACAUGUGGUUUAAUUCGAUGAUACGCGAGGAACCUUACCUGGACUUAAAUGUAGAUUGACGUAUCCAGAGAUGGAUAUUUCUUCGGACAAUUUACAAGGUGCUGCAUGGUUGUCGUCAGCUCGUGCCGUGAGGUGUCGGGUUAAGUCCCAUAACGAGCGCAACCCCUGUUGUUAGUUACCAGCACAUCAUGGUGGGGACUCUAACAAGACUGCCGGUGUAAACCGCGAGGAAGGUGGGGAUGACGUCAAAUCAGCACGGCCCUUACGUCCAGGGCUACACACGUGUUACAAUGGCCGGUACAGAGGGCAGCUACUUGGUGACAAGAUGCGAAUCUCAAAAACCGGUCUCAGUUCGGAUCGAAGUCUGCAACCCGACUUCGUGAAGCUGGAUUCGCUAGUAAUCGCAUAUCAGCCAUGAUGCGGUGAAUACGUUCCCGGGCCUUGUACACGC
rnacentral:rRNA from 1 species